UUCCCUACGGGGCGCAGCAGUGGGGAAUAUUGCACAAUGGGGGAAACCCUGAUGCAGCGACGCCGCGUGAGUGAAGAAGCGUUUCGGCGCGUAAAGCUCUGUCAGCGGGGAAGAAACACGGUUCGCGAGAGCCGCGGACGGUGCCCGACCAAGAAGCCCCGGCUAACUACGUGCCAGCAGCCGCGGUAAUACGUAGGGGGCAAGCGUUAUCCGGAUUUACUGGGUGUAAAGGGGGCGCAGACGGCGAUGCAAGCCAGGAGUGAAAGCCCGGGGCCCAACCCCGGGAC
rnacentral:rRNA from 1 species